CCUACGGGCGGCUGCAGUAAGGAAUAUUGGUCAAUGGACGAAAGUCUGAACCAGCCAUCCCGCGUGCAGGAUGAAAGCCCUAUGGGUUGUAAACUGCUUUUAGCAGAGAAGAAAAGCUUUCAUUAAUGAGAGUAUGACGGUAUCUGCAGAAUAAGCACCGGCUAACUCCGUGCCAGCAGCCGCGGUACUACGGAGGGUGCGGGCGUUAUCCGGAAUUACGGGGGUUAAGGGGGAGGUAGGCGGCGGUUGAGAAAUCUUGUCGCUGAACGAUAAAAUUGCCAAUGAUACUGGUACUCUUGAAUUGGGUUGAGGUUAGCGGAAUGUGACAUGUAGCGGUGAAAUGCAUAGAUAUGUCAUGGAACACCAAUUGCGAAGGCAGCUAACUGGGCCUUGAUUGACGCUGAGGCACGAAAGCGUGGGUAGCGAACAGGAUUAGAUACCCUUGUAGUC
rnacentral:rRNA from 1 species